UGAGGGAUAUUGGUCAAUGGGCGCGAGCCUGAACCAGCCAAGUAGCGUGAAGGAUGACUGCCCUACGGGUUGUAAACUUCUUUUAUAAAGGAAUAAAGUGAGGCACGUGUGCCUUUUUGUAUGUACUUUAUGAAUAAGGAUCGGCUAACUCCGUGCCAGCAGCCGCGGUAAUACGGAGGAUCCGAGCGUUAUCCGGAUUUAUUGGGUUUAAAGGGAGCGUAGGUGGAUUGUUAAGUCAGUUGUGAAAGUUUGCGGCUCAACCGUAAAAUUGCAGUUGAAACUGGCAGUCUUGAGUACAGUAGAGGUGGGCGGAAUUCGUGGUGUAGCGGUGAAAUGCUUAGAUAUCACGAAGAACUCCGAUUGCGAAGGCAGCUCACUAGACUGCAACUGACACUGAUGCUCGAAAGUGUGGGUAUCAAACAGG
rnacentral:rRNA from 1 species